CCAAUAGCGUAUAUUAAAGUUGUUGCAGUUAAAAAGCUCGUAGUUGAAUUUCGGGGUUAGUAGGUUGGUCAUGCCUCUGGUAUGUACUGGUCUCACUGAUUCCUCCUUCCUGAUGAACCUUAAUGCCAUUAAUUUGGUGUUUUAGGGAAUCAGGACUGUUACUUUGAAAAAAUUAGAGUGUUUAAAGCAGGCUCACGCUUGAAUACAUUAGCAUGGAAUAACGGAAUAGGACGUUUGAUUCUAUUUUGUUGGUUUCUAGGAUCGACGUAAUGAUUAAUAGGGAUAGUUGGGGGCAUUAGUAUUCAAUUGUCAGAGGUGAAAUUCUUGGAUUUAUUGAAGACUAACUACUGCGAAAGCAUUUGCCAAGGAUGUUUUCAUUAAUCAAGAACGAAAGUUAGGGGAUCGAAGACGAUCAGAUACCGUCGUAGUCUUAACCAUAAACUAUGCCGACUAGGGAUCGGAUGAUGUUAAUUUUUUAAUGACUCAUUCGGCGCCUUACG
rnacentral:rRNA from 1 species